GCCAGACUCCUACGGGAGGCAGCAGUGGGGGAUAUUGCACAAUGGGGGGAACCCUGAUGCAGCGACGCCGCGUGGGUGAAGGAGCGUUUCGGCGCGUAAAGCCCUAUCGGCAGGGAAGAAGGAGGACGGUACCUGACUAAGAAGCCCCGGCUAACUACGUGCCAGCAGCCGCGGUAAUACGUAGGGGGCAAGCGUUAUCCGGAUUUACUGGGUGUAAAGGGGGCGCAGACGGCAGCGCAAGCCAGGAGUGAAAGCCCGGGGCCCAACCCCGGGACUGCAUUGGAAACUGCCGGGCUGGAGUGCCGGAGGGGUAAGCGGAAUUCCUGGUGUAGCGGUGAAAUGCGCAGAUAUCAGGAAGAACACCGGUGGCGUAGGCGGCUUACUGGACGGCAACUGACGCUGAGGCUCGAAAGCGUGGGGAGCAAACAGGAUUAGAUACCCCAGUAGCC
rnacentral:rRNA from 1 species